UCCUCCAAAUCUCUGCUCUCCCUGUUCCUCCUGCCCUGCUCGCUGCGUGUGUGGUUCUGUGUGCACCGUGCGUCGUGCCUCGCAUGCCUCCUGCGAGAAAGCAAUCCUAGAGCCCUCCCUCCUCCUUUCCAUCCACUCAUGUCAUGCCUCCUCCCCUUUCUCCCUAGCCGACGGUGGCUCCUCCCCGUGUGCCCACGGUCUCCAAUGCGCUCAACCCGGCCCACCUCAGUCCCCUCACCCUCUGGUCACCGUCCUCCCGUGCCCUCACCCGCUGGUGGCCCUCCCAUGCAUCUCGGGCUUGAUGGCUGCUUCCCCACCUCGCCCAUUCAGCUCCGCCAUCGCCUCCCUCCCUUGCUGAUAUCCAUCUUAUCUCCUUUUGCAGGGGCUUGUCCUUCCGUGGUGGUCAUACGCCGUUUGAGAUUGGAGGGAGACUAGGAGACCCUGGCGGAAGCGAGCCUGCUAGCAGAGGCUCCAGGGAUGCUGGGUGAUAGGGCCUAGUCCAUGCCCCGGUUGUGCUGCUGGGUGAUCUUAUUCAUCCUUCUUGUCAACGAGUUGUUCAUGUCUAGCGAGGAUUUUUAGGACGAGCCUUCCUAUCUAAAAUUAUCGGAUAAAUUCAACAUAUCUGUGGAAAUCUAGUUUUCUGCAGAUUCAUACGACUCUGAAUGUUAUUCCAUAACCGAUGACUCAAAGUGAUUAUACACUGAAACCGAAGCCUUUGGAAAAUGAAACAGAAACCUUACUUGAGAGCAGGCAGAGGCGUGGAACCAAUGGUGAUGUUGUUGUUGCCUGCUCUUCUAAACUGCUGCUUGUUCAUCGUUUGCUGUUUUGCCUAUCAAGGAAGGUAACUACUCAAAGCAGUUGGCAAGACAAGCAUUCGAUGGAGCUCAAGCGUUGAUCUUGAAGGAAGGUAACUACUCAAAGGUAUGCACCUAUUCAUGUUGGAGCAGUUAAGUUUGCAAGGAUUUUCUGCUGGAGGGCAUGGUAUGUGCUUGCAAGAAGUUCUUUGUGAUCUGGUGACAUCUUUUGGCCUAUUGGGGAACUGGACAUGAUUUAUAUUGCGAAGUUCAAUGUAUGGAUGAAAACUUCCUUUCAUAUCUGUUAUGUAUAUUUUAUAUACAUGGCUUUUGUGUUCUAUCAUGUGUGUUCCUGCUGCAGAAUUUUGUAUGGAAAUUCACCAUGAGUUAGAAUGUAUGUAUUUUCAACUACAGCCAUUUUUUUCAAAAGUCAAAAGAAUUUCUGCAUGAUCACAUAUCAUGAUUAUAUUUUUUUACGAAACCUUUUAUCCCAAACAAGUUGGGGUAGGCUAGAUAUGAAACCCUUUCACGAGGACUUUCCAGGAGGUCACCCAUCCUAGUACUACUCUCGCCCAAAUGGGUUUCAUACCCAAAAGACUGGCUAGUUUUUACGUUGGCUCGCCAAGCCUAUCACAACCCUUAGAUAUGAAACCCUUUUACGAGGACUUCCUAGGAGGUCACCCAUCCUAGUACUAUUCUCGCUCAAAUGGGUUUCAUACCUAUGGGACUGGCUAGUUUUUACGUUGGCUCGCCAUGAUUAUCUCCAUGAAAAAAGCUUUAGACAGUACAAAAUUGUAAAGGAAUCAUGGAACACUGUUGUAUGUCGCUGCUGAACAGAAGCAGGAUGCAACCAUAAAGAUUUUGUUGGAUAACCAUUCAGAUGUAAGUCCCAUUAAAUGUCUCUCCAUUAUUAUCUUAAAUCACAUUCAUUUACAGUUUUCUCACUCUUAUAUUUGAUAAUAUUCAAUUGUCUUCUUUCUCCAUUUUCCAAUUAGUUGAAUCUCAAUAGUAAAUUAGUUAGUAUUUUGUUUUAUCUCUGAAAUCUCGAGAUGUACACAAGUUGUUAGGUGUCAAAAAAAGUACACAAGUUGUUAACAUUUGAAUUUAGAUUUACGUUCGCCUUUUACUCGUUCUAUUUUUUGCAUAAUUGUGUCCUGUCUGUUAAGACAUGCUGAAAAGCUAGCUAUUCUGCAGCAAGCAGAGAGUCAUGGGCUCUUUCUGUGAGUCACCUGCUUCUCAUGUACAAAUAUUUCACCAUCUAAGUUUGAAAUAAAAUUGUACAUCGAAGAUAUCAAUGAUUUGCCAAGACUCCAAAGUCUUGUUGUUAUUUUUUGUAACUUCUGAUCUUGAACUUUGAUAGACAGAUAAUUAUGACUCUUUGACAUCAGAAAAUAUUUUAGUUUAUUUUGGGGUGGAUGUUAUUAUGGCAUCAAUACGGCUUCAUUCCACUUUAUCUGGCGCGACACAGGUCAAUAACUACUUCCUUUGAUUUCUUCAUCAUGAAUGCCUAUGUGCAUCUAUUAAAAAACCUUUAUUGUUUGUAUUGAGUGAAUAAGAACUGCAGUAGUUUCUCAAUGUGGAGGCCAUUAUAUUUAUGAUAUAAGAUGGAAUCCCGAAGGGCGAUGUAUACUUUUGGGGUUAAGGAUAUAAAGAACAACAUGGCUUAUGAGGUUGAAGAGAGCUCAAGUGGCAUCUUUUGGUUCUUGGAGGCCUGCACUUUCCUGGUGGAGCAGUAGCAAAAUAAUUCAGAGGCUUUAAAGCUACUCCACUUCACGUAGUUAGGAUCAAUUCUUUGUUUCGGUUUGAAAUAUUCCCCAGUCCCUCCUAUUUGAUCGAUUCAUCUAAUGGACAUUUUGCCAGGCAAAUAAAGAGAAGGCAGAUGUAUUGUUUUUUCUGGAGUACGGGAUAUGUAUUGUUACGAGUGAAGCCAUCCAUACAAGUCGGUAUAUUAAUAACCCCAUAUGUGGAAUUCAAGAUAUAGAGAAAUGUUCUUGUUCUGCUAAUCGGUUGCUUUACCAAAUGUACUGUAAAUGACGUUAUUAUUGUUCAAGAUAUAGAUAAAUGUUAUUGUUCUUCAUUGUAGUGGAUGAUAUCCAUUCCAAUUAUUGAGAUGAUGGAAGCACCACUUAGGAGUUUUGUCUCUGACCUAACGAAGCUGUUGAGGAAGAAGGGAUAAAUAAGUGCUGAGAAGACGGGAUAACUUAUCAAAUUCAGUUUGGUAUUACCCAUCAACAAGCUAACCGUGCUACUGGUGAAGGCUCAGUAGGCUCGCAAUCGCAGCGGAGCAUAGGGGUCUGGCACACGAAAGACGUGGUGUGGAGCUGGAUACUCUUUGUUGCGUUUGCGGGUGUCUGCUUGAAGUUGGCGGCCACCUUUUCCUUCGCUGUAAGGAAGUCAAAAAAGUUUGGCGAACCACCCAGCUAGAGGGUGUGAGACAGGAGCUGCUUUUAUGUCAAUCUCAGUUGGAGAUUCUUGAGCGUAUUUUUUGCACAACCGGAAAACAUCAAGCUUCAGGUCAUAUGCCUAUUGUGGAAGUGGUGGACUGAGGAAUAAUGGCAUGUUGAACGCAGACUAAGGCCUGAAGAAUUUAGUGCACAACUGUCUUUUGAUGUUGCUGAAUGGUGCCAGUUUUUUACGCCCUCUCCAAAGCCUGUUAUACAGGAUACGAGCAAGUGGAAGCCGCCACCUGACUUCGUCAAGAUCAACCUGGACGGUGCAUACUAUCCGGAAUCUGGUACGGGAGGUUGGGGCUGCAUUGCUGGAGCGCCGGACGGAGAUAUCCUAUUCGCAGCCGCUGGACCGCUCAGUAACUUGUCUGAACCGUUACAGGCUGAAAGCAAUGCGUUUUUGAAGGCGAUCGACCUUUCGGAAAAUUUGCCAUGGGCAAAGUCAUCUUUGAAACGGAUUGUCUAAAUCUGAAACAGGAUGUGUGUUCGGACGCCUGUGACGGCGCAGCUCUAAGAGCUUUAUUCAGAGAAGAAAAAUAUCAUCUCCGUUUGGGUUUCAUCGAGUACCGAGUGGAGUUCUCUCCCCGAAACUGUAACACACCAGCGCAUGUGCUAGCAAGUCUCGAUUCUCGGGAAGUUCAAAGUGACCAUACUCUGUGGAUUACCAAUUUUCCUGCUGAUGUAACCCGUGCAGUGGCCGGCGAUCUUGCCGCGACCACAUGUUAAUGGAAUGCAAGGUGUUUCAUAUAAAAAAAAGUAUACAUAUGUUCUAAGGCAAAAAGAUAUGUACUUUAUAUACGUUCUUAGGCAAAAAGUAUAGAGAAGGGUCUAAAUUCUUGCCGUGCGUACUUGCUCAAAUAGAAGAACACUAAAAAAUAC